rnacentral:rRNA from 1 species
GAUUAAGUUAUUAAGGGCGCACGGUGGAUGCCUUGGCACUAGAAGCCGAUGAAGGACGUUACUAACGACGAUAUGCUUUGGGGAGCUGUAAGUAAGCUUUGAUCCAGAGAUUUCCGAAUGGGGAAACCCAGCAUGAGUUAUGUCAUGUUAUCGAUAUGUGAAUACAUAGCAUAUCAGAAGGCACACCCGGAGAACUGAAACAUCUUAGUACCCGGAGGAAGAGAAAGAAAAUUCGAUUCCCUUAGUAGCGGCGAGCGAAACGGGAAGAGCCCAAACCAACAAGCUUGCUUGUUGGGGUUGUAGGACACUCUAUACGGAGUUACAAAGGACGACAUUAGACGAAUCAUCUGGAAAGAUGAAUCAAAGAAGGUAAUAAUCCUGUAGUCGAAAAUGUUGUCUCUCUUGAGUGGAUCCUGAGUACGACGGAGCACGUGAAAUUCCGUCGGAAUCUGGGAGGACCAUCUCCUAAGGCUAAAUACUCUCUAGUGACCGAUAGUGAACCAGUACCGUGAGGGAAAGGUGAAAAGCACCCCGGAAGGGGAGUGAAAUAGAACCUGAAACCGUGUGCUUACAAGUAGUCAGAGCCCGUUAAUGGGUGAUGGCGUGCCUUUUGUAGAAUGAACCGGCGAGUUACGAUUUGAUGCAAGGUUAAGCAGUAAAUGUGGAGCCGUAGCGAAAGCGAGUCUGAAUAGGGCGUUUAGUAUUUGGUCGUAGACCCGAAACCAGGUGAUCUACCCUUGGUCAGGUUGAAGUUCAGGUAACACUGAAUGGAGGACCGAACCGACUUACGUUGAAAAGUGAGCGGAUGAACUGAGGGUAGCGGAGAAAUUCC